rnacentral:rRNA from 1 species
GAGUUUGAUCCUGGCUCAGAACGAACGCUGGCGGCGUGCCUAACACAUGCAAGUCGAACGUGAUCCAGAGCUUGCUCUGGUGAAAGUGGCGCACGGGUGAGUAACGCGUGGAUAACCUACCCUGGUAUCCGGGAUAACAUUCCGAAAGGGGUGCUAAUACCGGAUAAGCCCACGGGCUCUUUGGAGCUUGCGGGAAAAGGUGGCCUCUAUUUAUAAGCUACUGUAUCAGGAUGGGUCCGCGUACCAUUAGCCAGUUGGCGGUGUAACGGACCACCAAGGCGACGAUGGUUAGCUGGUCUGAGAGGAUGAUCAGCCACACUGGAACUGAGACACGGUCCAGACUCCUACGGGAGGCAGCAGUGGGGAAUUUUGCGCAAUGGGGGAAACCCUGACGCGGCAACGCCGCGUGAGUGAUGAAGGCCUUUGGGUCGUAAAGCUCUGUCAGAGGGGAAGAAAUGAUAUAGUGCUAAUACCACUUUAUCUUGACGGUACCCUCAAAGGAAGCACCGGCUAACUCCGUGCCAGCAGCCGCGGUAAUAC